GGAUAGCUGGUGCAUUUUAAUGUUAUAUAAAAUAAUCUUAUCUGGUAAAGCGAAUGAUUAGAGGCCUUAGGGUCGAAACGAUCUUAACCGAUUCUAAAACUUUAAAUAGGGUAAGAACCUUAACUUUCUUGAUAUGAAGUUUAAGGUUAUGAUAUAAUGUGCCCAGUGGGCCACUUUUGGUAAGCAGAACUGGCGCUGUGGGAUGAACCAAACGUAAUGUUACGGUGCCCAAAUUAACAACUCAUGCAGAAACCAUGAAAGGCGUUGGUUGCUUAAAACAGCAGGACGGUGAUCAUGGAAGUCGAAAUCCGCUAAGGAGUGUGUAACAACUCACCUGCCGAAGCAACUAGCCCUUAAAAUGGAUGGCGCUUAAGUUGUAUACCUAUACAUUACCGCUAAAGUAGAUGAUUUAUAUUACUUGUGAUAUAAAUUUUGAAACUUUAGUGAGUAGGAAGGUACAAUGGUAUGCGUAGAAGUGUUUGGCGUAAGCCUUCAUGGAGCUGCCAUUGGCACAGAUCUUGGUGGUAGUAGCAAAUAAUCGAAUGAGACCUUGGAGGACUGAAGUGGAGAAGGGUUUCGUGUGAACAGUGGUUGAUCACGAGUUAGUCGGUCCUAAGUUCAAGGCGAAAGCCGAAAAUUUUCAAGUAAAAAAUCAGUGAGUAAUAUUGUCAAAUCUUUUAUGAUUUUUAAAUACUUGAAUAAUUUUGAACGAAAGGGAAUACGGUUCCAAUUCCGUAACCUGUUGAGUAUCCGUUUGUUAUUAAAUAUGGGCCUCGUGCUCAUCCUGGCAACAGGAACGACCAUAAAGAAGCCGUCGAGAGAUAUCGGAAGAGUUUUCUUUUCUGUUUUAUAGCCGUACUACCAUGGAAGUCUUUCGCAGAGAGAUAUGGUAGAUGGGCUAGAAGAGCAUGACAUAUACUGUUGUGUCGAUAUUUUCUCCUCGGACCUUGGAAAAUUUAUGGUGGGGACACGCAAACUUCUCAACAGGCCGUACCCAAUAUCCGCAGCUGGGUCUUCAAGGUGAAGGAGUCUCUAUUCGAUAGAAUAAUGUAGGUAAGGGAAGUCGGCAAAUUAGAUCCGUAACUUCGGGAUAAAGAUUGGCUCUGAAGAUUGAGAUAGUCGGGCUUGAUUGGGAAACAAUAACAUGGUUUAUGUGCUCGUUCUGGGUAAAUAGAGUUUCUAUCAUUUAUGGUAGUUACUUGUUCCCCGGAUAGUUUAGUUACGUAGCCAAUUGUGGAACUUUCUUGCUAAAAUUUUUAAGAAUACUAAUUGGGUUAAACCAGUUAGUUCUUAUUAAUUAUAACGAUUAUCAAUUAACAAUCAAUUCAGAACUGGCACGGACUUGGGGAAUCCGACUGUCUAAUUAAAACAAAGCAUUGUGAUGGCCCUAGCGGGUGUUGACACAAUGUGAUUUCUGCCCAGUGCUCUGAAUGUCAAAGUGAAGAAAUUCAAGUAAGCGCGGGUCAACGGCGGGAGUAACUAUGACUCUCUUUCGUCCAAUUACGGUACAAUCUGUUAUGGUAAGGAUUUUAAAUGCCAUUUUGGCUUACCGGUUGACCUCAUCAGUCGACUGGGAUCCGCGUCAGCGAGGUUUCCUUCCAACCGACGGAUGUGCCGAUAAUACGACGAUAGUCGACUUAAUCUUAAGGGAUCACCAUAAACGUUGUAAAUCAGUUUAUAUCGCAACUUUAGAUAUAAGCAAAGCAUUUGACUCGGUGUCUCAUGCAGCAGUUAGCGCCACUCUAACUGCAUAUGGUGCCCCUAAAGAAU
rnacentral:ncRNA from 1 species